AUUCUGCCCAAGCGGGGAAGGAUGAGAAGCUUCGACCAAGGUUCGACUUGAGCGCCAGCGAGAGAGCGUUGCCGUAGGCAACGACCCGAAGGGCGAAGCGCGCAGCGCUGAGUAAUCCUUCCCCCACCACCA
rnacentral:sRNA from 1 species